rnacentral:rRNA from 1 species
UGGGGGAUAUUGCACAAUGGGGGAAACCCUGAUGCAGCCAUGCCGCGUGUAUGAAGAAGGCUUUCGGGUUGUAAAGUACUUUCGGUAAUGAGGAAGGUGUAUUAUCUAACAGGUAAUACAAUUGACGUUAGUUACAGAAGAAGCACCGGCUAACUCCGUGCCAGCAGCCGCGGUAAUACGGAGGGUGCGAGCGUUAAUCGGAAUAACUGGGCGUAAAGGGCAUGCAGGCGGGUCAUUAAGUUAGGUGUGAAAUCCCCGGGCUCAACCUGGGAACUGCACUUAAAACUGGUGGUCUGGAGUAUUGUAGAGGAAGGUAGAAUUCCACGUGUAGCGGUGAAAUGCGUAGAGAUGUGGAGGAAUACCGGUGGCGAAGGCGGCCUUCUGGACAAAUACUGACGCUGAGAUGCGAAAGCGUGGGGAGCAAACAGG